rnacentral:rRNA from 1 species
GAUGAACGCUGGCGGCGUGCCUAAUACAUGCAAGUCGAGCGAACGGACGAGAAGCUUGCUUCUCUGAUGUUAGCGGCGGACGGGUGAGUAACACGUGGAUAACCUACCUAUAAGACUGGGAUAACUUCGGGAAACCGGCGCUAAUACCGUAUAAUAUUUUGAACCGCAUGGUUCAAAAGUGAAAGACGGUCUUGCUGUCACUUAUAGAUGGAUCCGCGCUGCAUUAGCUAGUUGGUAAGGUAACGGCUUACCAAGGCAACGAUGCAUAGCCGACCUGAGAGGGUGAUAGGCCACACUGGAACUGAGACACGGUCCAGACGCCUACGGGAGGCAGCAGUAGGGAAUCUUCCGCAAUGGGCGAAAGCCUGACGGAGCAACGCCGCGUGAGUGAUGAAGGUCUUCGGAUCGUAAAACUCUGUUAUUAGGGAAGAACAUAUGUGUAAGUAACUGUGCACAUCUUGACGGUACCUAAUCAGAAAGCCACGGCUAACUACGUG